rnacentral:rRNA from 1 species
ACACGUAGGGGCCUGACGUUGUUCGGAAUCAUUGGGCGUAAAGGGCGCGCAGGCGGCCGUCCAAGUCCGGUGUUAAAUGGUCGGGCUCAACCCGAUCAUGCGCUGGAAACUGGGCGGCUUGAGUCCCGUAGGGGAUGCCGGAAUUCCAGGUGUAGGGGUGAAAUCUGUAGAUAUCUGGAAGAACACCGAUGGCGAAGGCAGGCAUCUGGUCGGAGACUGACGCUGAGGCGCGAAGGCGCGGGGAGCGAACAGGUUUAGAUACCCUGGUAGUCCGCGCAGUAAACGAUGCGCACCAGGUGUCGGGCGGCAGCGCCCGGUACCGGAGCUAACGCGAUGAGUGCGCCGCCUGGGGAGUAUGCCCGCAAGAGUGAAACUCAAAGGAAUUGACGGGG